rnacentral:rRNA from 1 species
GAUCAUGGCUCAGGAUGAACGCUAGCUACAGGCUUAACACAUGCAAGUCGAGGGGCAGCAUGGUCUUAGCUUGCUAAGGCCGAUGGCGACCGACGCACGGGUGAGUAACACGUAUCCAACCUGCCGUCUACUCUUGGACAGCCUUCUGAAAGGAAGAUUAAUACAAGAUGGCAUCAUGAGUCCACAUGUUCACAUGAUUAAAGGUAUUCCGGUGGACGAUGGGGA